AGCGAACGCUGGCGGCAGGCCUAACACAUGCAAGUCGAAUGAAGUCUUCGGACUUAGUGGCGGACGGGUGAGUAACACGUGGGAACGUACCUUUUGGUUCGGAACAACUCAGGGAAACUUGAGCUAAUACCGGAUGAGCCCUUCGGGGGAAAGAUUUAUCGCCAUUAGAGCGGCCCGCGUUAGAUUAGCUAGUUGGUGAGGUAAAGGCUCACCAAGGCUACGAUCUAUAGCUGGUCUGAGAGGAUGAUCAGCCACACUGGGACUGAGACACGGCCCAGACUCCUACGGGAGGCAGCAGUGGGGAAUCUUGCGCAAUGGGCGAAAGCCUGACGCAGCCAUGCCGCGUGAAUGAUGUAGGUCUUAGGAUUGUAAAAUUCUUUUACCAGGGACGAUAAUGACGGUACCUGGAGAAAAAGCCCCGGCUAACUUCGUGCCAGCCGCCGCUGUAACAC
rnacentral:rRNA from 1 species